rnacentral:lncRNA from 11 species
CUACUACGGGAUUGCUUGCAAUUUGGGGACUCUGUCCAAUCGGAGGCGGCGCCCAAUCAGGACCGGGCAGGGCUCGGCGCGCGCCCAAUCUGAGCGGGCGGGGGAGAGGGAGGCGUUCCUCGGGCGGCCGGAGCCUCACCAGUCACUCGGACACGGCGGAGGAGCAGGAGCAGGGCGGGGCGGUGGGAGUCGCCGGCCGCUCGGUUCUUCUCCUUCUUCCCGGAGAGACGCGUCAGCGCAGCGCCCGCCGAGGUGAAGAGCGAGGAAAGACAAUUGGAUACAUUUCUGCCAACGAUGAACAAAUUUUCUGAAGCCGUCAUGGAAGAAGUCGACACUCUGUUUCCACAACCAGUGUCUCACAGUUCUCUCAACAUCUUCAUCAGAAGCAUAAUGAUGUCCCCACAGAUCUUUCAUUAUCAGGAACAGAUGGAAGUCAGACAGUGCUAAAUCUGGUCUGAGUGGAGGAUGCCGUACGGUGGUGCUGGCAAAAGAGGCUGGAAAGUAAAGCUUUGCUGCAGGAGUAAGUAAGUACAGGUCUUGAAGAGGCCUAAUACUCAAGGUCUUUGCAACUAUAGUUAAAACUUAUUCAGUCAUCUGCC